UGUUUGAUUUUAUUUCUAUUUUAUUAUUAUUAUUUUUAUAUAUAUUUCAUGUUAGUUUUGCUUUAUUCAAAAACAUAAAAAAAAAAAAUUAAAAUUUUUUUUAAAGAAAAGUACUAAGUGAUUUUAUUUUAAUUUAUUAUUAUUAUUAUUAUUUUUAUUCAUUUUAGUGUAUAUAUUCUUUUUAGUUUUGUUUUAUUUUAUUUUUUUUUUAAAAAUAAAUAAAAAAAAAAAAACCCUAAGUGGAUUGAUCCCCGUCCACGUGGAUCUAUCCCAUUUUACUUGUACUUUUCCCUUUCUCAUUAAACAGUGAAGGGGACUUUUUUUGCCUAAAAUUGUCAAUCCCCCGUCAAAGCAGAUCGAUCGCCCCUUAGCACCACGAAUACAUUCCUCUUCUCAGUUUCUUCAAACCCCUAGCUUUUCCUUUUUCCCUUAACCUUGCCCAUUCACUGUUUACCUUCACCCCCACAUAAAUUCCUCUCUUCUCCCUUUGGAUUCCUUAACCCAAAUCUCCACUUCCAAUCUCCAUGCCCAAUUUCUUCAUCCAAACCUCAUUGUUCUGUCCUUCUUUUCCGCGGCAUUGAAGGCGUCAAAUUCCUGGGCCAUGGCUCUGAGUUUUUCUGUGCCGACGGUUUCUGAUUUGUAAAUCGCCGAUUUCUCCGGCGAUUUUGAUUUGGUCGACGAUUUUCGCCAAUUUCUGGGUUCUGAUUUUGGGUUGCAGUUUCUGGGUUGGUUAAUCGGCAGUGAUUCGCUGCGCCGACGGUGACUGGGCUGUCUCUCCGGCGAUCGUGGCUGCUUCUUCCAACGGCGUCGGAUCUGGGUUGUUAUCUCCGGUGAUCGCGGCGGCUCUUUCCAGCGAUUUCGGCUUGGUGUCGCCGGUGAUUUCGGCUGGGCUUAUCGCCGGCUAGUUUGUGGGUCAAAAUAAAAAUAAAUAAAUAAAUAAAAAACCGCAACAGAACGAUUCCGGCUGGGCUGAAAUUCCAGCGCUAUUUAAGACUCGCACUUUAUUUUUCCGGCGUUGCAACUGGCUGUUCCCUCCAGCGAUUUUGGCUAGAUUUUGAUUUGGUUUCUUCAUCGUUUCCGGCGGCUUUUGACUGGGUUUUCUCCGGCAAGUAUGUGGCUAGGUUUUUGCAUCCAAGUUUAGGGGAGACAUCUUUCCUACUAGAUCAUUGCCGGACUUCAUAGUCUUUGCCAUUACGGUAUACUCUUUCCAUCAUUUUUCAUUGUUCUCAUUGCACAUUGAGGACAAUGUGCAGUUUAAGUUUGGGGGUAAGGUAGUCGUGUUACAUUCUACUUUAAGUUGAGCUUUAAACACAUAAUUGAGAUUUGAAAUGUAUUUGGCAAUGAUUUCGAACUUUUGAAACAUAGUGCCAUUGGAAAGCAAGUUGUUAGAGUCUAAUACUUCUUGUAUGCUCUAGGAUGCCAUUUAGGGGAAAAUUUUAAUUUUUGACAUCAUGUUUGUUUUUGUGGUACACAUCAUCUUGUUGGUUGAAAAUGCUUUAAAAGUUAAUUCUAGAAUUCUACACUUGUACUUGCGCACACUAGCAUUCAAUUUGUGGGGUACAUGCUUAGUUGAUUAUUGUCUUGGUUUAUCCUAAUUGAGCUAGUAUGCUUUGAAAGCUUUCAUUCUUGAUAAAAUGACCUUGCAAAGAAAAGAAAUAAAAGCACUCACCAAAAGUGAGAAAUAAAAAAAAAAAAUAAAAAAAAAAUAA